GCUCUCUUGGCGGCGAGUGGCGGACGGGUGAGUAAUAUAUCGGAACGUGCCCAGUAGCGGGGGAUAACUACUCGAAAGAGUGGCUAAUACCGCAUACGCCCUACGGGGGAAAGGGGGGGAUCGCAAGACCUCUCACUAUUGGAGCGGCCGAUAUCGGAUUAGCUAGUUGGUGGGGUAAAGGCUCACCAAGGCAACGAUCCGUAGCUGGUUUGAGAGGACGACCAGCCACACUGGGACUGAGACACGGCCCAAACUCCUACGGGAGGCAGCAGUGGGGAAUUUUGGACAAUGGGGGAAACCCUGAUCCAGCCAUCCCGCGUGUAUGAUGAAGGCCUUCGGGUUGUAAAGUACUUUUGGCAGAGAAGAAAAGGUAUCCCCUAAUACGGGAUACUGCUGACGGUAUCUGCAGAAUAA
rnacentral:rRNA from 1 species